AUUGAACGCUGGCGGCAGGCCUAACACAUGCAAGUCGAACGAGUGGCGGACGGGUGAGUAAUGUAUGGGAAAGUGCCCCAUGGGGGGGGAUAACUACUCGAAAGGGUAGCUAAUACCGCAUCCUAUCGGAUGUGCCUAGAUGGGAUUAGCUAGUGGGUGGGGUAAAGGGUCACCAAGGCGACGAUCCCUAGCUGGUCUGAGAGGAUGACCAGCCACACUGGAACUGAGACACGGUCCAGACGCCUACGGGAGGCAGCAGUGGGGAAUAUUGCACAAUGGGCGAAAGCCUGAUGCAGCCAUGCCGCGUGUAUGAAGAAGGCCUUCGGGUUGUAAAGUACUUUCGGCUGGGAGGCGUUACUCGCAGAAGAAGCACCGGCUAACUCCGUGCCAGCAGCCGCGGUAAUAC
rnacentral:rRNA from 1 species